CCCUGGGAGGCUUUUUCGGCUACCACGACCUGGCGCUCUGUCUCCUUCCUUUUUCGUCGCCACAUCUGGUGACCCCGACGUGAUUCCCCCUGCUCACCGGCUGGAUAUGCCGAGUGCACCUCUGCGGCCGUUUGCCGCCCCUGAUUCGCUCCUAUGUGUCGCCCUCCUGUGAUGACAACCUGUUGGCCCUUUUUCUCACUCUGCAACAGUUCUUUUCCGUC
rnacentral:lncRNA from 1 species